GACGAACGCUGGCGGCGUGCUUAACACAUGCAAGUCGAACGGUAAGGCCCUUCGGGGUACACGAGUGGCGAACGGGUGAGUAACACGUAGGUGAUCUGCCCUGCACUUCGGGAUAAGCCUGGGAAACUGGGUCUAAUACCGGAUAGGACCCUGGGAUGCAUGUCCUUGGGUGGAAAGCUUUUGCGGUGUGGGGUGGGCCCGCGGCCUAUCAGCUUGUUGGUGGGGUGAUGGCCUACCAAGGCGACGACGGGUAGCCGGCCUGAGAGGGUGACCGGCCACACUGGGACUGAGAUACGGCCCAGACUCCUACGGGAGGCAGCAGUGGGGAAUAUUGCACAAUGGGCGCAAGCCUGAUGCAGCGACGCCGCGUGAGGGAUGACGGCCUUCGGGUUGUAAACCUCUUUCAGCACCGACGAAGCGCAAGUGACGGUAGGUGCAGAAGAAGGACCGGCCAACUACGUGCCAGCCGCCGCGGUAA
rnacentral:rRNA from 1 species